GCGCCAGUAGCUCAGCAGGAUAGAGCAACGGCCUUCUAAGCCGUGGGUCGGGGGUUCGAGCCCUCCCUGGCGCGCCA
rnacentral:tRNA from 1 species